UGGGGGAUAUUGCACAAUGGGCGAAAGCCUGAUGCAGCGACGCCGCGUGGGGGAUGAAGGCUUUAGGGUUGUAAACCUCUUUCGCUAUCGAACAAGGCCCGCUUAGGGUGGGUUGAGGGGAGGUGGAGAAGAAGCGCCGGCUAACUACGUGCCAGCAGCCGCGGUAAUACGUAGGGCGCGAGCGUUGUCCGGAAUUAUUGGGCGUAAAGGGCUUGUAGGCGGCUUGUUGCGCCUGCUGUGAAAACGCGGGGCUUAACUUCGCGCGUGCAGUGGGUACGGGCAGGCUUGAGUGUGGUAGGGGUGACUGGAAUUCCAGGUGUAGCGGUGGAAUGCGCAGAUAUCUGGAGGAACACCGAUGGCGAAGGCAGGUCACUGGGCCAUUACUGACGCUGAGGAGCGAAAGCAUGGGUAGCGAACAGG
rnacentral:rRNA from 1 species